AGAGUCCAUUAUUCUCUAUAUAACGGGAGGACAUGAACUUAUAGAAAUUUCCACGUGCUGCAGACUAAUAAGCUGUCAAAGAACAAUCUUGUGGGAUAUUGUGAGAUUGAUCUACUUGAAUUUCUGACACAGGAAUCUGAUUCUGACAGCGAAUCGUUUGACCUGUUAGAUCCAUUGUCAUCUGAUAUUGUUGGCAACAUUUCUAUUUCAUGUUCUGUUGAGGAUCCAAUUGAAACAGAGAAGAAUUUCGCAAGACGUAUUUUGUCAAUUGUGGUAUGUUG